rnacentral:rRNA from 1 species
GACGGAGGGCGCGAGCGUUGUUCGGAAUUACUGGGCGUAAAGCGCGCGCAGGCGGAUGGGCAAGUCGGAAGUGAAAGCCCGGGGCUCAACCCCGGGACUGCUCCCGAUACUGCUUGUCUAGGGACCGGUAGAGGCUGGUGGAAUUGCUGGUGUAGCGGUGGAAUGCGUAGAUAUCAGCAAGAACACCCGUGGCGAAGGCGGCCAGCUGGGCCGGAUCCGACGCUGAGGCGCGAAAGCGUGGGGAGCAAACAGGAUUAGAAACCCCCGUAGUCC